rnacentral:rRNA from 1 species
GAUGAACGCUGGCGGCGCGCCUAACACAUGCAAGUCGAACGGUUAAAGCACCUUUUAGGUGUGUAUAAAGUGGCGAACGGCUGAGUAACACGUGGGCAACCUGCCCUCCUCUUGGGGAUAGCCUCGGGAAACCGAGGAUAAUACCCGAAUACUUCAAUGUGGCCGCAUGACGACAUUGAGAAAGCUUUUGCGGAGAAGGAUGGGCCCGCGGCCUGUUAGCUUGUUGGUGGGGUAGAGGCCUACCAAGGCAAUGAUGGGUAGCUGGGUUGAGAGACCGACCAGCCAGAUUGGGACUGAGACACGGCCCAGACUCCUACGGGAGGCAGCAGUGGGGAAUCUUGCACAAUGGGCGAAAGCCUGAUGCAGCGACGCCGCGUGCGGGACGAAGGCCUUCGGGUUGUAAACCGCUUUCAGCAGGGACGAGGCGAUAAGUGACGGUACCUGCAGAAGAAGCCCCGGCUAACUACGUGCCAGCAGCCGCGGUAAUGCGUAGGGGGCAAGCGUUAUCCGGAUUCAUUGGGCGUAAAGCGCUCGUAGGCGGUCUGUUAGGUCGGGAGUUAAAUCCGGAGGCUCAACCUCCGCCCGCUCCCGAUACCGGCAGACUUGAGUUUGGUAGGGGAAGGUGGAAUUCCUAGUGUAGCGGUGGAAUGCACACAUAUUACGAAGAACACCAGUGGCGAAAGCGGCCUUCUGGGGCAUAACUGGACGCUGAGGAGCGAAGCUAGGGGAGCAAACAGG